AGAUGUACCAAAUGAAUAAUGCUAAAGCUGAAGACACGCAGAAUAGAAAUGUGCAGAGCUACGUCAGUGCAAAGAGCUGCUGGACGUUGUGCCACGCCGGCUGGACUCCAAGCUAGCACUCAGUAACUCAUCAAGAUCUGCAGAGGCCUACUGAUUAAGCCCUCAUUAGGUUUAGCUGUGUGGAACCAGGAAAACGGCCAUGAGGACUGACUUUGGACCCCGUUGAGCUACAGUGACAAUGGAGAAAGGACAGAACCAAAGGCCCACUUUGGCUCUUUGUGGACUCGGCAGACAUGUUUACCCGGCUCAGCGUCACGUCCACUCUUCCUUGUUUAUCAGUCUGUCCUUUCCUCCAGCUAAAGGGCAUCCAA